CUCAGACAUGGAGAGCAAGCUGAUGUUUUUGGUGGUUUGUGUGAUUGGUUGUGCAGUGUCUUGCAUUAAGGCUGAUGGGCACCUAUCAACGCCAACAAAUUUAACCUCCAACAUCACCGGCAAUGAGUGUGGAAAAACCAAACUAUGUUUGGACAACCCUAAAGGAUGUGACCCUUCAGGCAGCUCUCAGUGUUUCUUCACCUCGGUACAGAUUAACUUAACCACCCUCAAUCUAAAGGUUGAGCUCAGUGGCAACUCCAGCGGUUACAUUGCUUUAGCAGCUGGAGUGACAUCUAGUGUGGUUCAGGGCCUCAAUAUCAUCUUUGUCUGUGGCAAUAAUAAUGGCAGGUUCUUCUUCCGGACUGCAACACUCUUAAAUAAUACACUGCUGACAACAAAUGUAGUAAGGAUUAUAUUUUUUAGCAUACUGUCUGACCACUUUUACAGACCUUUUCCAUUUUUACAAGAAUGUGGAAUUAUCAAAUGUUUUUGAUAUAUGGAUCAAUAUCCUUUUUUUCCCCCAGCCCAAUGUAAACAAUAUCCAGGGUUCGAUACAACCAAGCUUGAUUCAGUGUGUUUUCAGCAUCCCCAUUGAUGCAAACACUAUCAACUUCCUAAACAAUGUCAAUGUCACAAAUGUCAACAUUAGCAACAUUGCUAAUUCCCAGCUGAAUGUUUUCCUUGACGUCUUGCAGGGUUCAACCAAUGGUGAGUUUGAUCACUUUUCAAAACACAAA
rnacentral:lncRNA from 1 species